AUUAAAUCCAUCUAGUUGGUUUAUUUUUUGUCAUGUGAUGCUUUCAUACUCUUAGUAUAAAAGCCCGUGCAUUUUCCCCGUCCCUGCUGCUAAUUUUUGACGAAGGGCCUUCGCUCGAAACGUCGAGUUUCUGCUUAUUUUUUUAGGGUAGUAAUAUAACCACUCAGCACAGCAUUUCUACAUUGGUACUACCUACACUGGAACAGACAGUUUUAGUUGAUUUAUUUUAGUUUAUUCAUUUUAGUUUAUUCAUUUUAGUUUAUUUAAUCCUACCAACUUAAGUCAAGUAAUAAGUCUUAUUGUUUUAUAUUUUAUUUAUAUGUUAAAAGUUGAAUAAAUAUUAAUUAAAUAUAAUAUUAUUUUUCUAAUAUGUAGUACUUCGAUAGUGUACCAGUUCAACAAGACACCCAGCCAUUAAUACAGGACAGCAAAAGCCAUUAAGUUACCAAUUACGAUGUAUAUACCCAGCUAGUUUUGAUACCAGAUAUAUCGCCACCGUCAUAU